rnacentral:rRNA from 1 species
UACAGAGGUGGCAAGCGUUGUUCGGAAUUACUGGGCGUAAAGGGCGCGUAGGCGGCCUACUAAGUCAGACGUGAAAUCCCCCGGCUUAACCUGGGAACUGCGUCUGAUACUGGAAGGCUUGAGUAUGGGAGAGGGAUGUAGAAUUCCAGGUGUAGCGGUGAAAUGCGUAGAUAUCUGGAGGAAUACCGGUGGCGAAGGCGAGUCUCUGGACAGCAACUGACGCUGAGGCACGAAGGCCAGGGGAGCAAACGGG